AACGAACGCUGGCGGCAUGCCUAACACAUGCAAGUCGAACGAAGUCUUCGGACUUAGUGGCGCACGGGUGCGUAACGCGUGGGAAUCUGCCCUUGGGUUCGGAAUAACAGUGAGAAAUUACUGCUAAUACCGGAUGAUGACUUCGGUCCAAAGAUUUAUCGCCCAAGGAUGAGCCCGCGUAAGAUUAGCUAGUUGGUGAGGUAAAGGCUCACCAAGGCGACGAUCUUUAGCUGGUCUGAGAGGAUGAUCAGCCACACUGGGACUGAGACACGGCCCAGACUCCUACGGGAGGCAGCAGUGGGGAAUAUUGGACAAUGGGCGAAAGCCUGAUCCAGCAAUGCCGCGUGAGUGAUGAAGGCCUUAGGGUUGUAAAGCUCUUUUUACCAGGGAUGAUAAUGACAGUACCUGGAGAAUAAGCUCCGGGCUAAACUUCCGUGCCAGCAGCCGCGGUAAAGUGACUACU
rnacentral:rRNA from 1 species